ACACUCCUACGGGAGGCAGCAGUGGGGAAUUUUGGACAAUGGGCGCAAGCCUGAUCCAGCCAUGCCGCGUGCGGGAAGAAGGCCUUCGGGUUGUAAACCGCUUUUGUCAGGGAAGAAAAGGUUCUGGCUAAUACCUGGGACUCAUGACGGUACCUGAAGAAUAAGCACCGGCUAACUACGUGCCAGCAGCCGCGGUAAUACGUAGGGUGCAAGCGUUAAUCGGAAUUACUGGGCGUAAAGCGUGCGCAGGCGGUUAUGCAAGACAGAGGUGAAAUCCCCGGGCUCAACCUGGGAACUGCCUUUGUGACUGCAUGGCUAGAGUACGGUAGAGGGGGAUGGAAUUCCGCGUGUAGCAGUGAAAUGCGUAGAUAUGCGGAGGAACACCGAUGGCGAAGGCAAUCCCCUGGACCUGUACUGACGCUCAUGCACGAAAGCGUGGGGAGCAAACAGGAUUAGAUACCCCAGUAGUCCCAUGA
rnacentral:rRNA from 1 species